rnacentral:rRNA from 1 species
GACGAACGCUGGCGGCGUGCUUAACACAUGCAAGUCGAACGAAGUGGCGAAAGGGUGAGUAACGCGUAAUCAACCUGCCCUUCAGAGGGGGACAACAGUUGGAAACGACUGCUAAUACCGCAUACUGAAGGAGGGGAUUGUGUCUGAUUAGCUCGUUGGAGGGGUAACGGCCCAACAAGGCGAUGAUCAGUAGCCGGUCUGAGAGGAUGGACGGCCACAUUGGGACUGAGAAACGGCCCAAGAUCCUGAGGGAGGCAACAGGGGGGAAACUUCCGAAAUGGACGAAAGUCUGACGGAGCAAAGCCGCGUGAGUGAUGACGGCCUUCGGGUUUUAAAGCUCUGUUAAUCGGGACGCGGUACCGGAAUAGAAAGCCACGGCUAACUACGUGCCAGCCGCCGCGGUAAUAC